rnacentral:rRNA from 1 species
UUCAAUCGGACUUCUGGUUCUGCACUCGAUGGAGCCGUCGAUGGUGCAACGCUACGUCCGUUGGUUAAUGACUGACAGCAUCUCAAGUCAGAAACCUUGCUAG